rnacentral:rRNA from 1 species
AACGAACGCUGGCGGCAGGCCUAACACAUGCAAGUCGAGCGCCCUUUCGGGGGAGCGGCGGACGGGUGAGUAACGCGUGGGAAUAUGCCCUUCUCUACGGAAUAGCCUCGGGAAACUGAGAGUAAUACCGUAUACGCCCUGUGGGGGAAAGAUUUAUCGGGGAAGGAUUAGCCCGCGUUGGAUUAGGUAGUUGGUGGGGUAAUGGCCUACCAAGCCGACGAUCCAUAGCUGGUUUGAGAGGACGAUCAGCCACACUGGGACUGAGACACGGCCCAGACUCCUACGGGAGGCAGCAGUGGGGAAUCUUAGACAAUGGGGGCAACCCUGAUCGAGCCAUGCCGCGUGAGUGAUGAAGGCCUUAGGGUUGUAAAGCUCUUUCAGCUGGGAAGAUAAUGACGGUACCAGCAGAAGAAGCCCCGGCUAACUCCGUG